GCUGGGCAUGGUGGUGCAUGCCUGUAAUCCCAGAGACUUGGGAGGCUGAAACAGGAGAAUUGAAAGUUUGAGGCCACUCUCAGGAACUUAGUGAGGCCCUGACUCAAAUUUUAAAAAUAAAAAU
rnacentral:sRNA from 1 species